UACGUAGGGUGCAAGCGUUGUCCGGAAUUAUUGGGCGUAAAGAGCUCGUAGGCGGUUUGUCGCGUCGAAUGUGAAAACCCGGGGCUCAACCCCGGGCCUGCAUUCGAUACGGGCAGACUAGAGUUCGGUAGGGGAGACUGGAAUUCCUGGUGUAGCGGUGAAAUGCGCAGAUAUCAGGAGGAACACCGGUGGCGAAGGCGGGUCUCUGGGCCGAUAUCGACGCUGAGGAGCGAAAGCGUGGGGAGCGAACAGG
rnacentral:rRNA from 1 species